CCUACGGGAGACAGCAGUGAGGAAUAUUGGUCAAUGGACGAGAGUCUGAACCAGCCAAGUAGCGUGAAGGAUGACUGCCCUAUGGGGGGUAAACUUCUUUUAUAAGGGAAUAAAAUGUGGCACGUGUGGGAUUUUGUAUGUACCAUAUGAAUAAGGAUCGGCUAACUCCGUGCCAGCAGCCGCGGUAAUACGGAGGAUCCGAGCGUUAUCCGGAUUUAUUGGGGUUAAAGGGAGCGUAGGUGGGUUGUUAAGUCAGUUGUGAAAGUUUGCGGCUCAACCGUAAAAUUGCAGUUGACACUGGCAGUCUUGAGUACAGUAGAGGUAGGCGGACUUCGUGGUGUAGCGGUGAAAUGCUUAGAUCUCACGAAGAACUCCGAUUGCGAAGGCAGCUCACUGGACUGCAACUGACACUGAUGCUCGAAAGUGUGGGUAUCAAACAGGAUUAGAUACCCGAGUAGUC
rnacentral:rRNA from 1 species